AUUGAACGCUGGCGGCAGGCUUAACACAUGCAAGUCGAGCGGGGAAGGGUAGCUUGCUACCUAACCUAGCGGCGGACGGGUGAGUAAUGCUUAGGAAUCUGCCUAUUAGUGAGGGACAACAUUCCGAAAGGAAUGCUAAUACCGCAUACGCCCUACGGGGGAAAGCAGGGGAUCGUCGGACCUUGCGCUAAUAGAUGAGCCUAAGUCGGAUUAGCUAGUUGGUGGGGUAAAGGCCUACCAAGGCGACGAUCUGUAGCGGGUCUGGGAGGAUGAUCCGCCACACUGGGACUGAGACACGGCCCAGACUCCUACGGGAGGCAGCAGUGGGGAAUAUUGGACAAUGGGCGCAAGCCUGAUCCAGCAACGCCGCGUGCGGGAAGAAGGCCUUAGGGUUGUAAACCGCUUUCAGGAGGGACGAAGCCACUCGGGUGAACAGCCCAGAGGGUGACGGUACCUCCAGAAGAAGCCCUGGCUAACUACGUGCCAGCCGCCGCGGUAACAC
rnacentral:rRNA from 1 species